rnacentral:lncRNA from 1 species
CUCUCAGACCCUCCUGUCUUCCUCCAACUUCACUUUCAGCAGGAUGCAUCACCCCUGACUUGAGAGGAAGGAGUCACCAGCCAGGUGUGCCAUCAGCCUUCGUGGCACUACCACUUUCCAGGUCAACUGCCUCCAUGCCCAUCCUUGUCACAAUGAAGAACUUUCUCUCCCCUGAGUGGGUCCAACCCUGCACAUCUGCUCCAGGUCCUAUCCUCUGGAUCUGCCCCUCCUGAAUACCACUGUCUUUCAUAAUCUUAGCCUCUGCCUCUCUACCGACUCCUUGCCAUCAAUUAUGUAGCUGGGAUCCCGAAUCAAACCUUGUGGGGAAUGGCAAGUGAAGGAGAAAGCAAUCCAAACAGCAGGCUACUAUGUUUAUCCACUAGAAUGACUCCACCGUCCCUCCAUUCAACUUUCUCUCCACACAGUGAUGGCAACAACUAGAACAGGAAAGGCAACGUGGAGGGGAAGCUCUUGAUUUAUUCGGGUACCCCAAAUUCCUCAUCUGUAUUAUCCCCCCUGAGGUGAAAUUAAAUAGGCCACCUACUAUCGCACCAUUUAUUACACUUAAUUUCCAUGUGUUCUUCCUAUAAGCAUGAGGAGA